UCCUACUUCCUCAUUAUGCAGACAUAAGCACACUUGGUACCAGUUUCAUCCUAAAAACAGAUUAUAGUGGUAAAAUUACAAAGGAUACAUUUUUUUGUGCCAUUUAGGCGAUUAAUUUGCUAUGGGCUCGCGCUAUAGUGUUCCAGUUUAGCCUACGUUAUUUUGCCAUUUUUCAGCCUUAGGUGAAUUUGGACAUUCUAUUGUCCAGCCUACUCCAGUACAGACCAGAAAUAGAAGUCUCAUCAGGACAUCAACAAAUACAGCGUCUGAUCUGAGUGUGCCAAUGCCACCGCAGCAUCAAGAGGCUGAUACUCAAUGGGAGGUUCCAGCACUGACUGAUCACAGCUAAGUGUCAAGAGAACCAGUCAACAAGCCCACCUGCCACAAACAAACCCAAUGUGGUGGUGCAGAGCCAUUGACCCACACCAUGUUGAAGAAUGACACUAGCUCUGUGUUGUAUACUGGCCUUCCUCUUAGUGGUUUCUUUGACCAUGUAGCAUUUCUGCAGCAAUUUGACACAUGCAUAUCACUGAUCGAAUACUGAUAACCUUGAUGAAGCUGAAUCUAUUCCAGGGUGAUCUUGCUGAACGCUUUGCUGUGUCCCAGGGAGUAGGGAGCAGAGUCCUUUCCUACUGGAUUGGCACAAUGGAAGAGCACAUGAGGAUCUACAUUCCAUGGAGGCUGAAGACAAUCCAGAAAAAAUGCCUCAGUGCUUCAAAGAGAAGUUCCCCAACACCACUUGUAUCAUCGAUUGCUAUAAAAACACUCUUCAGAUAGCACAUAUUAUCGAUUCCAGAGGGAGGUCAUACAGCCACUAUUAUUCCAGCAAUACUCUACAGUAUUUGGUUGUCUUUGCUCCAUGUGAACUCAUUAUGUUCAUUUCUCCUGCAUAUAGAGGCAGAUGCAGUGACCAGUUCAUCACCCAAAACUCUGUCUUCCUGGAAUUAGGCCUUCGCAAUGAAGUUAUGGCACUUGCUUCACCAUCUGAGAUCUGCUGUAUGAGAGGAAGAUAAACCAUGCCAUACUGUAGCAGCCUUCCCUCAGAAAGGAGGCCAGCUGUCUGACGAGGAGGAUGGCUAAUGUGCGUACACAUGUUGAGAGUUAUCAGACCACACAAGGUGUUAGAAAUCCUCUCCCAGACUGUUCCCAUCAAUCUGAAAUGUAACUUUAUACAUUAUAAUUUCAUCCACAUGAUAUAUAUAUAUAUAUAUAUAUAUAUAUAUAAUUAUAUUAGUUUCCUGUUAAAUCUGAAUCAUUUUAAUGUUCCUACAUUUGAAAUGUACUGUAACUUUGCCUGUUCCUGAUAAUUACAGGCAUCCACUAGGUGCCGCUAUCAUGCCUUCUUAAAUGUAUUUAAAAUACCUUUUCUUCAACACCAAAAUGUCUCUAACAGACCAAGAGGGAAGACAACUGUUUAUCAAGUGCCACACUUUUGUUCAUUUGUGCCCUUGAACACCAAACCCAGAAUCAAGCUGAAAACACAUUUCAAACCCUUAGACAUGCCUCCUCAUCCUUAAUUUCAAAAUGUUAAGUAUAAAAGAAAAUGUCAACAAA